GUCUCCCACAAAGUGAAGAAAUUAACUCAGAAAAUGAGCUCGAACACGCUUCCAUAACCCUCGUGAAUGCAAACUUUGAUAUUGAAUCACAGAAACGGAAGCGAAGAAUAAGAAGGCGGAGGCAAGGAGGAGGAGGAGGAGGAGGAGGAAGAAGGGCGAAGCGUGACAGAGAGUGUUUUUUCGCACUCUCGCAUAAACAUUUCACAGAUCAGAUCGAAAUCUUCCCAAUUAUUGUUUGGCAAUUGUCCAUCUCUGAGAUCCAAUUUUUCUUUUGCCGAGUGAACACUUGAAUUUGUGUUUAGUUGGGGGAGAUUAGGUCUUGCCAAAUCCAAUGGCGUGCAUAAAAGGGGUGAAUCGGUCGGCAUGUGUGGCUCUGGCACCGGACGCGCCUUACAUGGCGGCCGGAACCAUGGCGGGGGCGGUUGAUCUGUCAUUCAGCUCCUCUGCCAAUCUCGAAAUAUUUAAGCUUGAUUUCCAGUCGGAUGAUCAGGAACUGCCUUUGGUCGUCGACUUUCCCAGCUCCGAGCGGUUCAAUCGUCUGUCUUGGGGGAAGAACAGUCCUGCGUCUGAAGGUUUUGGUCUCGGCCUUAUUGCUGGUGGACUGGUCGAUGGGAACAUUGACAUCUGGAAUCCUCUUACUCUGAUCCGUUCGGAUGUGAAUGAAAAUGCUUCGGUUGCACACCUUGUAAGGCAUAAAGGACCUGUUCGAGGUCUUGAAUUUAAUUCUAUUGCACCAAUCUUCUUGCGUCUGGGGCUGAUGAUGGUGAAAUUUGCAUAUGGGAUUUGACCAAUCCUUUGGAGCCCACCCAUUUUCCGCCACUCAAGGGUAGUGGAUCUGCUAGCCAGGGGGAAAUUUCAUUCUUGUCGUGGAAUAGUAAAGUCCAGCACAUUUUAGCAUCUACAUCUUAUAAUGGGACUACUGUGGUUUGGGAUCUAAAGAAGCAAAAGCCAGUGAUAAGCUUUUCAGAUUCAGUUACAAGACGGUGCUCAGUUUUACAGUGGCAUCCUGAUAUUGCCACACAGCUCGUCGUUGCAUCAGAUGAAGAUGCUUCUCCUAUUUUGAGGCUUUGGGAUAUGAGGAACAUAAUGACACCGCUCUAAAGGAGUUUGUGGGA